CGAACGGGUGAGUAACGCGUAAGAACCUGCCCUUGGGAGGGGAACAACAACUGGAAACGGUUGCUAAUACCCCGUAGGCUGAGGAGCAAAAGGAGAAAUCCGCCCAAGGAGGGGCUCGCGUCUGAUUAGCUAGUUGGUGAGGCAAUAGCUUACCAAGGCGAUGAUCAGUAGCUGGUCCGAGAGGAUGAUCAGCCACACUGGGACUGAGACACGGCCCAGACUCCUACGGGAGGCAGCAGUGGGGAAUUUUCCGCAAUGGGCGAAAGCCUGACGGAGCAAUGCCGCGUGGAGGUGGAAGGCCUACGGGUCGUCAACUUCUUUUCUCGGAGAAGAAACAAUGACGGUAUCUGAGGAAUAAGCAUCGGCUAACUCUGUGCCAGCAGCCGCGGUAAU
rnacentral:rRNA from 1 species